GGUUGGAUGGCCGAGCGGUCUAAGGCGCCAGACUAAGGAUCAGCGUCGUAUCUGGCGUUUCUUGUUUCAUCGUACCUUCGGUGCGUUGGAUAUCUGGUCUUUCGGGGCGUGGGUUCGAAUCCCACUCCAAUCA